rnacentral:lncRNA from 1 species
CACAAAGAAGAGAUUUUGGAUUUUCCAGAGAAGAUGGGAUCAGAACUUAAUAACUUUAAAACUUUCUAUUCCAUAUCCGUUACAACUAGUAUUUGGGUGUUUUUGCUUGAGCUGUACAAGAUGAAAGUCUCAUAUACAGUUCUCAGGGGGGGAGUUUCGCCUAUCUCAAUAAAGUAUAUGAUUGGUUCGAAGAACGUCUCGAUAUUCAAGAAAUUGCGGACGAUAUAACUAGUAAAUACGUUCCCCCCCACGUCAAUAUAUUUUAUUGUUUAGGGGGAAUUACGCUUACUUGUUUUUUUAGUACAAGUAGCUACUGGGUUUGCUAUGAAUUUUUACUACCAUUCGACAGUUACUGAGGCUUUUGCUUCUGUUCAAUACAUAAUAACUAAAGCCAACUUUGGUUGGUUAAUCCGAUCAGUUCAUCGAUGGUCGGCAAGUAUGAUGGUCCUAAUGAUGAUUAUUCAUGUAUUUCGUGUGUAUCUCACCGACAGAUUUAAAAAACCUCGCGAAUUGACUUGGGUUACAGGUGUGGUUCUGGCUGUAUUAACCGCAUCUUUUGGCAUAACUAGUUAUUCCUUACCUCGGGACCAAAUUGGUUAUUGGGCAGUGAAAAUAGUAAUAGGUGUCACUGACGCUAUUACUGUAAUAGGAUCACCUUUGGUCGAAUUAUUGCGCGGAAGCACUAGUGUGGGACAAUCUACUUUGACUCAUUUUUAUAGUUUACACACUUUUGUACUGCCUCUUCUUACUGCCGUAUUUAUGUUAAUGCACUUUCCAAUGAUACGUAAACAGGGUAUUUCUGGGCCUUUAUAGAUAGAGCAAAAAAAAUAUAUCCUAAAUAUUUGUAAUCAAUCAUUUAUCACUUGGUGGAGGAAUAUAUAGUAUUUCAUUGCUACAAGUAUGGAUUAUUGAAAAUAAUAAGACAUGGAUUUGGAUAUUUCCCUUUAACUAUUCAUGUCAACUAAACGUGGGGAUUGAAGGGAAUUUUGUGAAUAGAAAAUGGAUUAUGGGAGUGUGUGACUUGAAUUAUUGAUUGAUCUGUGUAGAUAUAUGCCUUCCACAUGGGAAUUCACAACCAAAUAUGUCUUUGUUCCAAUCACCGUGUAAGCCCUAUAUAGAGGAUAGGCUAGUUCGCUUAAAGGAAAUCUUUUCUAUGAUCAGGUCCGAAUCAUGUUGUACAUGAGCAGGCUCCGUAAGGUCCAGUAUAAGUUAAGUAGAUAAAACGGAAUCAAUAUUCCGUUUUAUCUAGUUCACUUAUAAGAUUUAAUAGUAUGUAAAUGUAUUCAUUUCCUCUGCAUUGACACAAUCAAUACUAUUAUCGGAGUGAAACAAGGGAUCUAAAGAAGAAGAGAGGCUAGACUAUAUUAGUAACAAGCAAACCUUGUAUGUGUAUCUCUAAGCAUUUUGGAGAUUAAUACCAAUUAGAAGGUCUGAGAUGACCCAGAAAGCACUUGAUCAUAUCAUGAUUUGAUUUGUAAGCCUACUCGGGUCUUCAGUAUUUACUUGUAAGAACAAAUUCUUUGUUUUGUAAUAGAUAGUUGCAAUUCUAUAAGAAAGAAUUCAGUCAAAUUUUUCUUACAUUGAACCAUUCCUCUAUCAUAUAUGUGGAUGUGUAAAGACAGGUACCAUCUAUAUAUUUUAUAUAAAUAUAUGGAUUCAUUUGGUUCUUUUUAUUCUUGCUCGAGCUGGAUGAUUAAAAAUUAUCAUGUCCAGUUCCCUCGGGGGAUGGAUAUAUAAGAAUUCACCUAUCCCAAUAACAAAAAAACCCGACUUGAAUGAUACUGUAUUAAGAGCUAAAUUGGAUAAAGGUAUGGGUCAUAAUUAUUAUGGAGAGCUCGCAUGGCCCAAUGAUCUUUUAUAUAUUUUUCUAGUAGUAAUUUUAGGUACUAUUGCAUGUAAUGUAGGCUUACCCAUUUUAGAACCAUCAAUGAUUGGUGAACUGGCAGAUCCAUUUGCAACCCCUUUGGAAAUCUUACCUGAAUGGUAUUUCUUUCCUGUAUUUCAAAUACUUCGUACAAUGUCCGAUAAAUUGUUGGGGGUUCUUUUAAUGGUUUCAGUACCUGCAGGAUUAUUAACACUACCUUUUUUAGAGAAUGUUAAUAAAUUGCAAAAUCCAUUUCGCUGUCCAGUAGCGACGACUGUCUUUUUGAUUAGUACCGCAGUCUCCCUUUGGUUGGGCAUUGGUGCAACAUUACCUAUUGAUAAAUCCCUAACUUUAGGUCUUUUUAAAAUUUUUUAUUUUUAAUUGAUUCAAUUUUGAAAUAACACGACAUAUGUAUCUAGGGAAUAGUUUCUUCAAAGCGAAUUUUCCCUAUAUACAUCUAGUCAAUUUAAUUCUGAAUUUAUUUCUAAUAUAUGAUAUAUUAAUUGUGCUAAAUAUUUCAAUCUAUUUUGACUAAAUAAGUCCAAUAGAUUUAAAACUUUUUUUUUCUAAAUCAAUUACGAAAUAUUUUUCUAAAGUGCCCAAUAACUGUUUUAUAUCUUUGCUACGAAAAUAUUCAAUUUUCAUAGGAUCUUCUUGGAUGUUAUUCAAAAGGUCCAAUAAUGUAUAUAUAUUGGACAUUUUGAGGCAAUUAUAGAUCCUGGAAGGCAAUUCUGAUUGGUCAAUAAAAAUCGAUUUCAAUGCUAUUUUUUUUUUGUUUUUUCUGAGUUUAUCCAAUUUAUCAUGAAAGGUAAAACGGGAUAAAGGAACCGUGUGUUGAUUGUCCUGUAAAUAUAUAUUGUCUUCCUCCAUAUGUAAAAAGGGAAUAAAUAAAUCAAUUAAAUUUCGGGAUGCUUCAUGAAGUGCUUCUUUCGGAGUUAAACUUCCGUUUGUCCAUAUUUCGAUAAAAAGUAUCUCUUGUUUUUCAUUUCCAUUCCCAUAAGAAUGAAUACUAUGAUUCGCGUUUCGAACAGGCAUGAAUACAGCAUCUAUAGGAUAACUUCCAUCUUGAAAGUUAUGUGGCGUUUUUAUAAGAUAUCCACGAUUUCUCUCUAUUUGUAAUCCACUAAAAAAAUCAAUUGGUUCUGUUAAACUAGCUUUAUGUUGUGUAUUAUCAACGGUUCUACAUAAGGUGGAAAGAUGAUAUAUUGAGCAGUUACAUAUCCAGAACCCUUGACACAAAUAGACGCGUCAGAAGUUCCUUAUAGAUUACUUCUCAAUACAAUUUCUUUCAAAUUCAUUAAAAUUUCAUGUACCGAUUCUUGAAUGCCCGUUAUGGUAGAAUAUUUAUGUGGAACUUUGUCAGAUUUUACACGUGUGAUACAUGUUCCUUCUAUUUCUCCAAGUAAAGCUCUUCGCAUCGCAAUGCCUAUUGUGUCGGCUUGGCCUUUCAUUAGUGGAGACAGAAUAAAGCAUCCAUAAUAAAGGCAUUUACUGUCUGUUCUUGAUUCAACACACUUCCACUGUAGUGUCCGAGUAGAUACAGUUACUUUCUCUCAAACCAUAGUACUAUUAUUUGAUUAGAUCAUCGAAUCUUUUAUUUCUCUUGGGAUUUCUUCAAUGUUCAGCUCUACACACGUCUUUUUUUUCGGAGGUCUACAACCAUUAUGUGGCAUAGGAGUUACAUCCCAUACGAAAGUUAAUAGUAUACCACUUCGACGAAUAGCUCAUAAUGAUGUAUCUCUUCCGAGACCGAGACCUUUUAUCAUGACUUCUACUCGUUGUUUAACUUGAUCCAUUACGGUACGGACAGCGUUUGCUGCUGCGGUUUGAGCAGCAAACAGUGUUCCUCUUCUCGUACCUUUGAAUCCAGAAGUACCAGCGGAGGACCAAGAAACUACUCGACCUCGUACAUCUGUAACAGUGACAAUGGUAUUAUUGAAACUUACUUGAACAUGAAUAACUCCCUUUGGUAUUCUACGUGCACCCUUACGUGAACCAAUACGUCCCAUUCCUACGCGAACUAAUUUUCAGUAUAUCUUUUUCCAUAUUUUAUCAUCUCGUAAAUAUGAGUCAGAGAUAUAUGGAUAUAUCCAUUUCAUGUCAAAAUAGAUUCUUUAUUUAUACAUCGGCUCUUCUAGCAAGUCUGAUUAUCCUUGUCUUUGUUUGUCUCGGGUUGAAACAAAUUACUAUAAUUCGUCCCCGCCUGCAGAUUAGUCGAUAUUUUUCAUAAAUUUUUUGAAUGGAAGCUCUUAUUUUCAUAUUUUUCAUUCCUUACCUUAAUUCUUAAUCUAUUUCUUGGAAGAAAAUAAGUUUUUUGAAAUUUUUCAUCUCGAAUUGUAUUCCCCCGAAAGGAAUGGUGAAGUUGAAAACCUAAUCCUUUAAAUCUUUGUUGUGUAGUCGAUAAAUUAUACGCCCUUUGGUUGAAUCAUAAGGACUUACUUCAAUUUUUACUCUAUCUCCUGGCAGUAUCCGUAUAAAACUAUGUCGGAUCUUUCUCGAAACAGAAUUGAGAAUCAGAUCUAAACGAAUCGCGAAUAGACCGUUGAGAAGCAAUUCAGUAAUUACAGAUUUAUGACUCCAUUUUGGUUCUUAAAAUUCCCUUGAGGUAUCAACUAAUGAGAAAGAUAUUAGACAACCCCCCUUUUUCUAUUUCACAAAUUUAACAAAUAGGAAGUUUCGAAUCCAAUUUUUAUAUUAUAAAGGAUUACCAGAUAUAACACAAAAUUUCUCCACCUAUUCCUUCUAGUCGAUCCUCUCGGUCUUUCAUUAUACCUCGAGAAGUAGAAAGAAUUACAAUCCUCAUUCCACCUGAAAUUCUCAGAAUUCGUUGAUAAUUAGAAUAGAUUGAUAGAAUGGUCGACUUGUUUGUUUUAAAUUUAAAAUAUUUCUAUAGGGUCUUUUCCUAUUUCUUCUAUGUUGUAGGGUUAAAACCAAAAAAUAUUUGUUUUUUUCUCGAUGUUUUCUAAUGUUGUCGAUAAAACUCUCUCGUAAAAGUAUUUGAACAAUAUUUUUGGUAAUAUUUGUAGAUGCUAUCCGAACCACCCUUUUUCGAUCCAUAUCAGCAUUUCGUAUAAAAGUUAUUAUCUCAGCAAUAAUGUCCCCCAUGAUGAACUAAAAUUAUUGGGUUCUCCAAAUU